rnacentral:rRNA from 1 species
AUUGAACGCUGGCGGCAGGCUUAACACAUGCAAGUCGAGCGGAGAUGAGGUGCUUGCACCUUAUCUUAGCGGCGGGCGGGUGAGUAAUGCUUAGGAAUCUGCCUAUUAGUGGGGGACAACAUUCCGAAAGGAAUGCUAAUACCGCAUACGUUCUACGGGAGAAAGCAGGGGAUCUUCGGACCUUGCGCUAAUAGAUGAGCCCAAGUCGGAGUAGCUUGUUGGUGGGGUAAAGGCCUACCAAGGCGACGAUCUGUAGCGGGUCUGAGAGGAUGAUCCGCCACACUGGGACUGAGACACGGCCCAGACUCCUACGGGAGGCAGCAGUGGGGAAUAUUGGACAAUGGGGGGAACCCUGAUCCAGCCAUGCCGCGUGUGUGAAGAAGGCCUUAUGGUUGUAAAGCACUUUAAGCGAGGAGGAGGCUACUGAGACUAAUACUCUUGGAUAGUGGACGUUACUCGCAGAAUAAGCACCGGCUAACUCUGUGCCAGCCGCCGCAGUAAUAC